rnacentral:misc_RNA from 1 species
UUUAUCUCCAAUAUGUGCUACAUGUAUUAUCUGACAGAUAUGAUCAUUCCAAAUCUUAUCAUCAUCAUGUUAUCAAACAUUCAUCUUAACAUUCACACUUCUGCCACACUCAUCUUAUUGGAAUGUCACUUCUUAGAUGCCCCUAUCAUAGCUAACAAAAUUUUUUAAAACAACAUAGCUUAUGAAAAUUGCAAUACAAACUGGCUGUAGCUAGAAGAAUUUAUGCUUGAGGGAUUUUUUUUUUAAGGAACAAAAAAAAGAUAUUUAUAGAAGGAAGGGGAAGGGGAGCAGUGGGAGAACCUAUAACCAUGUAUUAGAAAAUAGUGAAAAUAUAUUUAACCCUAUAACUUUUUUAAAAAGUAAUUUCAAACCAAACAGAUUAUAUUUAUUUUAUGAAUGUGGAGAAUUUCUAAAUUUGACCCCUCUUAAUAAGUUUGAGCUUCCUACCACAAACUUGUGUAACUUUGUUUUUGAUGUUAUACCAUUUGUGCACAAUUUAAACUCCAUUUAUAUUCACUCCAUUAAAUUGCGUAGAUAAUGGGAAUAUUAACGAGCGAAAUUCAAAUAUAAACAUAUAAUAACAGAUAAAUAGUAUAAUCACAUUAUACUUAAGAAUAAAAAAGCAUAUCCUAAGCAUGCAAAUACAUUGGUGAUGGCUGGUACAUAAUGCUUCAAUAUUGAAGAAUAUCAUUGGUGACACUCUUUCUUAGGCCAUCUAGAAAGGUUGAGGCCAUUUACUGUAUUAAUAUUUUUCAAGAGUUAAAAAAGAAUAAUUUUCAAGCAGUUUAAGUUCAAUGAGUAGGGAUAAUUUUCCUCAGGCCUGUCCUGCUUCUUCAUAUAAGAAUCAAAUUCAUUCAGUUUAAUGACUGAGAGCUCAUACAAACAUCUUCAUAAUUUAGCAGGGUGAGCCCAUAUUAAGAAAAUUAACUAAAUUUAUUAUGACUACCUAUUAAUAAAUACAAAAUGAAAUACUAAAAUUGUUGCCAAGAAACUAGUAUCAAUUGCACUAUGGAAUACCAUAUUCAUUUGUAUGAAGUAAUGACCCAAGUGAAACAACUUAUGGUAGAUAGAUGAAUUUAUAAAAUCUCCAAGAUCAGUAAUUUCGAUUGUUAUAAACCCUGGAAACAGCAUAAUUUAGAAGCCAUUUUUAAUUACCUUGUCUUUGACUAGACCACCAGAUGUGAAAACACCGGCAUUCUCCAAAGCUGCAAGAACCUUUUGCUACAGAAAGUUGUUCAUGAUAUGAAUGAUAAGAGAAAUAUAGCAAACAUAACUGAUAAAAUGAAAAAAAAAAGCUUGGAAAGAAAUUAAACCAUUGACAGUUAAUGGAACUACGUUAGUAAAAGCAAACACUUGAUUGACCAACAGUCACCCAAGUAGGAAAAAAAUCCUUAAAGUUUUCCAUCUAUAUGCAAAAAAUAAUUAGCAUGCUCAAAACUAAAUGAAUAGAUGAGUAAAUGAAUAAAAUAAAACCAUUAACACAUCAAGUAAAAGCUUAAGAAAAGGUCCUAAUAAUAUCUCAUGCUGUCACGCAUCUAUCUCAGAAUAAUGCAAAAAUAUCUGAUAUAUAGCUAUAUCAUCAAUGAAUAACAACAAAUUCUUGUAGUUAUUUGUUUUCCAGCAUAAAUAUUUAAAUAUACCAUGUAAAAUAUGGCAGCAAUUAAUCGUACUGAUGCAUACAAAUCAACUCUAAAAUGAAAUGGAUUCUAAGUUAACACCACCAUCAGCUCAAGCUUCAAAAAUUUCUAAGGUAUCUUAAAUACAUUCAAGGAAAAUCAUAACAGAUCUUAUAAUAAAUUCACUAAAAACAUAUUAAUAUGAAUAUAUCCAACAAUAGGAAAGUUGGGAAUAUUAUUCCAGUACAUUGUUUGAAACAUCCAGCUAAUUUUUAGAAUAAUUAACUAUUAAAAUUGAUCCAGGGUUCAUGCACGAGUAAUUUUUGGGAAUAAAUGACAUAAGUGCACAUGGUAAAGGUGGGAGAUGUGAACACUAUCACAGGCAAGCAUUAUGAAAAUAAGAAAAAGUAUACUAGCAUAAUGAAACACAAUCACCCAUGAUGGAACAUAGUUGAGCAAAAUUGAUAAUCUUCAGUAUUUGAAAAGAUACUUUUUUACCCAACAGAGUUUGCACUUACUUCACUCUCAUCAUCGAGAACU